AUGAUAUUUUCAACUGAACAAGAAGCCUAUCAGUUCUACAACACAUACUCCUGGGAGAUGGGUUUCGCUAUUAAACACGACAACAAGUACGAGAUAAAGAAAACUGGAUACAAGACUAAUCAGGAUUUCCUCUGCUCGUGCGAGGGGCGGAGCAACAUAGGAAACACCAGGUCUGCGCGGACCAAAUGCCCAGCAAUGGUUCGAGUGAAGAGGACAUCCAAUGAUGGCUGGUUUUUCUCUCGAGUUGUUUUGACUCACAACCAUGAGCUGGCAGAAAUGGUUGGUGUGAAAAAAGUCUGGAAAUGUCAUGAUGCAAUUGAUUCUUCGAUGAGAUAUCUCAGCAAACAUAUUCGUUCAAACAAUGUGCAAGUUAACAAGGUGUUUGGGGUCAUGGCUGACAUCCAUGGGCGUGCUGAAGAAGUCUCAUUCGGCAAGAGGUGUCUGAAAAAUCUUUGCGCAUCAAUUGCACAUGAAGCUAGCCAGGACGACAUCGCCAAGAUGCUUGAGCUUUUUGCAACAAUGCAAUCCCAGAACCCUGAUUUUUUCUAUUCAGUUAAGACCGACAUAGAAAGGAGUGUCUGGUCUCUUGUGGUGCCACUCGAAGAGCCGUGCUGA
rnacentral:rRNA from 1 species